UGGUGUACAUACUUAGUUCUCUACCCAGUUGCUUAGGUUACCAAAGAAUUUCUAUUGUGAUAACUGACCCUGAUAAGUGAACAACAUAGACGUUUCUAUAUGAAAGGUCAAUGGCUGGGCCUCCGAUUGAAAAGACAGAGAAAAGGCACUACUAAUCCUGUUAAGGAUAUCAUAGGAUGAUCAACUGAGAGUUGGAAGGAAACUUCAGAGAUAUUUUACAGAAGGCAAACUGAGACUCAAGGAAGGGAAUUGACUUUCCUGGUCUGAUCACAUGUAAUAUCCCCCAUCAAAUAACAUUCCAUCCAAAUUGUUCUAUUUGGUGUUUCCCAUACAUGACAUCCCAUUUCCUACCUACCACCAUGUCUUUGCACAGCUUGACAUCCAUGCCUGGAAUAUUUCCUCUCUUCUUAUAUUUAUCUUCCUUCAAGAUUGUCCAAGACACCCCCUCCUACCAGAGAAUAUACAGAGAAGAUGCCUAACCAAAAACUUAAAUGAAUCCAUCCGGCACAAUCUCUGAAGUUCAAAAGUCAACAAAAUACAAGCCAAGAAGCGUGCCGCAGGAAUUAAGCUUUAUGGAGAGCAUCAAGUAAUUUACAUCUCAGCAAAAACAUUAAUAGCAACAUUUAUCACUAGUUGAGACCGUUAAUAAAUACAAUGCUGUCAAGAGGAGGAGAA